AGAGUUUGAUCCUGGCUCAGGAUAAACGCUGGCGGCGCACAUAAGACAUGCAAGUCGAACGAACUUAACCAUUAGUUUACUAUUGGAGCGGUUAGUGGCGGACUGGUGAGUAACACGUAAGCAACCUGCCUAUCAGAGGGGAACAACAGUUAGAAAUGACUGCUAAUACCGCAUAUACCUAAGCAUCGCAUGAUGCAAUAGGGAAAGGAGCAAUCCGCUGAUAGAUGGGCUUGCGUCUGAUUAGCUAGUUGGUGGGGUAAAGGCCUACCAAGGCAACGAUCAGUAGCCGGACUGAGAGGUUGAACGGCCACAUUGGGACUGAGAUACGGCCCAGACUCCUACGGGAGGCAGCAGUCGGGAAUAUUGCGCAAUGGAGGAAACUCUGACGCAGUGACGCCGCGUGCAGGAAGAAGGUUUUCGGAUUGUAAACUGCUUUAGACAGGGAAGAAACAAGACAGUACCUGUAGAAUAAGCUCCGGCUAACUACGUGCCAGCAGCCGCGGU
rnacentral:rRNA from 1 species